GACGAACGCUGGCGGCGUGCCUAAUACAUGCAAGUCGAGCGAAGUUUUUCUGGUGCUUGCACCGGAAAAAGUUGGGGGCGAGCGGGUAAGACACAAGUAAAGAACCUCCGUCUUAGGCGGGAACAAUGGUAGGAAAGGAUAGUAAUGACCGGGAAAAGGCUUUACAUGCGUGGUUGAUGUUAAAAAGUUGGUUUGGCGAAGAGUAUGAGAUGGAUUUGCGUUGUAUUAGCUUGUUGGUGGGGAAAGGGCCUACCAAGGCGACGAUGCAUAGCCGACCUGAGAGGGUGAUCGGCCACACUGGGACUGAGACACGGCCCAGACUCCUACGGGAGGCAGCAGUAGGGAAUCUUCCGCAAUGGGCGAAAGCCUGACGGAGCAACGCCGCGUGAGUGAAGAAGGAUUUCGGUUCGUAAAGCUCUGUUGUUAGGGAAGAAUGAUUGUGUAGUAACUAUACACAGUAGAGACGGUACCUAACCAGAAAGCCACGGCUAACUACGUG
rnacentral:rRNA from 1 species